UUCCAAAGUGUUGAGUUCAGGUCAGGGAAACUUCCCUGGUCUGUUAAUUAAACUUUGGGACAUUGAAAUUGGCUAAAGGAGAGGACUGAAUCUUCUGUUCACUUGCAUUCCAGCCAACAAUA
ensembl:snoRNA